rnacentral:rRNA from 1 species
GCUAUUAGAUGAGCCUAAGUCGGAUUAGCUAGAUGGUGGGGUAAAGGCCUACCAUGGCGACGAUCUGUAGCUGGUCUGAGAGGAUGAUCAGCCACACCGGGACUGAGACACGGCCCGGACUCCUACGGGAGGCAGCAGUGGGGAAUAUUGGACAAUGGGGGGAACCCUGAUCCAGCCAUGCCGCGUGUGUGAAGAAGGCCUUUUGGUUGUAAAGCACUUUAAGCAGUGAAGAAGACUCUUCGGUUAAUACCCGGGGACGAUGACAUUAGCUGCAGAAUAAGCACCGGCUAACUCUGUGCC